rnacentral:rRNA from 1 species
ACUCAAAUGAAUUGACGGGGGCCCGCACAAGCAGUGGAUUAUGUGGUUUAAUUCGACGCAACGCGAAGAACCUUACCAGGGUUUGACAUGGAGUCAAAAGUUAUAGAGAUAUGAUGUCCCGCAAGGGGGACUCACACAGGUGGUGCAUGGUUGUCGUCAGCUCGUGUCGUGAGAUGUUGGGUUAAGUCCCGCAACGAGCGCAACCCCUAUUGUUAGUUGCUACGCAAGAGCACUUUAGCGAGACUGCCGUUGACAAAACGGAGGAAGGCGGGGACGACGUCAAAUCAUCAUGCCCCUUAUGCCCUGGGCUACACACGUAAUACAAUGGCGCAAAAACAGAGGGAAGCUAAGCCGCGAGGUGGCGCAAAUCCCGAAAAGGCGUCUCAGUUCGGAUCGCAGGCUGCAACUCGCCUGCGUGAAGUCGGAAUUGCUAGUAAUCGCGGAUCAUCAAGCCGCGGUGAAUACGUUCCCGGGCCUUGUACACACCGCCCGU